CCUACGGGUGGCAGCAGUGAGGAAUAUUGGUCAAUGGGCGCGAGCCUGAACCAGCCAAGCCGCGUGAAGGACGACUGUCCCACGCGUUGUAAACUUCUUUUAUAAAGGAAUAAAAUCAGGCACGUGUGCCUUUUCGAGGGUACUUUAUGAAUAAGGAUCGGCUAACUCCGUGCCAGCAGCCGCGGUAAUACGGAGGAUCCGAGCGUUAUCCGGAUUUAUUGGGUUUAAAGGGAGCGUAGGUGGGUUGUUAAGUCAGUUGUGAAAGUGUGCGGCUCAACCGUAAGAUUGCAAUUGAUACUGGCUGCCUUGAGAACAGUAGAGGUAUGCGGAAUUCGUGGUGUAGCGGUGAAAUGCUUAGAUAUCGCGAAGAACUCCGAUUGCGAAGGCAGCCUACUAAACG
rnacentral:rRNA from 1 species